GCAAACUUGGUCAUUUAGAGGAAGUAAAAGUCGUAACAAGGUUUCCGUAGGUGAACCUGCGGAAGGAUCAUUAAUGUGCCGUGAAGAUCUGCCUUUAAACGGGUUAGAUCUUUCACAUGGCUCACCCUUGUUUACCUUUAAUUGUUGCUUUGGUGGGCCUGCCAACAAGGCUGCCGGGGAAUUUAAUUUCCGGGCUCGUGCUCACCAAAGUCUUUAAUGAACUCUGAGUUUGUUUUUUUAGUUGUCUGAGUUAUUAAAAGAAAUUUAUUUUAAAACUUUCAACAACGGAUCUCUUGGUUCUGGCAUCGAUGAAGAACGCAGC
rnacentral:misc_RNA from 1 species